GCAACCAUAGUCCAAUGGAUAACACCCUCGCCUGUCACCCGGCAGACCUGGGUUCGAUCCCCGCUCCCUGCU